AACGCAGGGGGCGAGCGUUAUCCGGAUUUAUUGGGCGUAAAGCGCGCGUAGGCGGCAUGUUAAGUUGGACGUGAAAUGUCCUGGCUCAACUGGGAGAGGACGUACAAAACUGACAAGCUUGAGGGUAGAAGAGGAGAGCAGAAUUCCCGGUGUAGUGGUGGAAUUCGUAGAUAUCGUGAGGAAUACCAGUGGCGAAGGCGGCUCUCUGGUCUAACCCUGACGCUGAGGUGCGAAAGCGUGGGGAGCGAACGGG
rnacentral:rRNA from 1 species